rnacentral:rRNA from 1 species
UACGGAGGAUGCGAGCGUUAUCCGGAUUUAUUGGGUUUAAAGGGUGCGUAGGCGGACUGUCAAGUCAGCGGUAAAAUACGGGGGCUCAACCUCCGCCCGCCGUCGAAACUGACGGUCUUGAGUGGGCGAGAAGUAUGCGGAAUGCGUGGUGUAGCGGUGAAAUGCAUAGAUAUCACGCAGAACUCCGAUUGCGAAGGCAGCAUACCGGCGCCCAACUGACGCUGAAGCACGAAAGCGUGGGUAUCGAACAGG